rnacentral:rRNA from 1 species
GACGAACCGUGCGAACGUUGUUCGGAAUCACUGGGCUUAAAGGGCGCGUAGGCGGGCUGUCAAGUCUGGGGUGAAAUCCCGCGGCUUAACCGUGGAACUGCCUUAGAUACUGACGGCCUCGAGGAAGGUAGGGGCAUGCGGAACUGUAGGUGGAGCGGUGAAAUGCGUUGAUAUCUACAGGAACUCCGGUGGCGAAAGCGGCGUGCUGGACCUUUUCUGACGCUGAGGCGCGAAAGCUAGGGGAGCAAACGGG